CCUACGGGAGGCAGCAGUGGGGAAUUUUCCGCAAUGGGCGAAAGCCUGACGGAGUGACGCCGCGUAGGAGACGAAGGCCUUCGGGUCGUAAACCCCUGUCAGAGGGAAAGAAGGGUCUCGCGGUGAAUAGCCGCGGGAUCUGACGGUACCUUCAGAGGAAGCCCCGGCCAACUCUGUGCCAGCAGCCGCGGUAAGACAGAGGGGGCAAGCGUUGCUCGGAAUCACUGGGCGUAAAGGGCGCGUAGGCGGGAUGGCAAGUCGGUCGUGAAAUCCCUCGGCUCAACCGAGGAGCGUCGGCCGAUACUGCCGUUCUUGAGGGAUGCAGAGGAGACUGGAAUUCCCGGUGUAGCGGUGAAAUGUGUAGAGAUCAGGAGGAACACCGGUGGCGAAGGCGGGUCUCUGGGCAUCUCCUGACGCUGAGGCGCGAAAGCGUGGGGAGCAGACGGGAUUAGAUACCCCGGUAGUCCACGCUGUAAACGAUGACGACUAGGUGUGGGGUGGUUCAGUCCAUUCCGUGCCGCAGCUAACGCAUUAAGUCGUCCGCCUGGAGAGUACGGCCGCAAGGUUGAAACUCAAAGGAAUUGACGG
rnacentral:rRNA from 1 species